GACGAACGCUGGCGGCGUGCUUAAUACAUGCAAGUCGAACGAAGAGCGAUGGAAGCUUGCUUCUAUCCAUUUUAGUGGCGCACGGGUGAGUAACGCGUAAUCAACCUGCCCUUCAGUGGGGGACAACAGGUGGAAACGACUGCUAAUCCCGCAUACGAUCGAAUCUCGGCAUCGAGGAGGGAAGAAAGGUGGCCUCUAUUUAUAAGCUAUGACUGACGGCGGGGAUUGCGUCUGAUUAGCUAGUUGGUGGGGUAACGGCCCAACCAGGCGAUGAUCAGUAGCCGGACUGGGAGGGUGGACCGCCACAUUUGGACUGAGACACGGGCCAGACUCCUACGGGAGGCAGCAGUGGGGAAUCCUCCGCAAUGGACGAAAGUCUGACGGAGCAACGCCGCGUUAGUGAUGACGGCCUUCGGGUUGUAAAGCUCUGUUUAUCGGGACGAAAGGUCCUCUUGCGAAUAGUUAGAGGAAUUGACGGUACCUGAACAGAAAGCCACGGCUAACUACGUG
rnacentral:rRNA from 1 species